rnacentral:rRNA from 1 species
UUUGUAGGUGGUCUGUUAAGUCAGACGUGAAAUCCCUCAGCUUAACUGGGGAACUGCGUCUGAGACUGAUGGACUUGAGGGCAGGAGAGGAACGCGGAAUUCCAGGUGUAGCGGUGAAAUGCGUAGAUAUCUGGAGGAACACCGGUGGCGAAGGCGGCGUUCUGGACUGUUUCUGACACUGAAAAACGAAAGCCAGGGGAGCAAACG